rnacentral:rRNA from 1 species
GAUGCUGUGUACCCGCGGCUAGACGGAAAGACCCCGUGAACCUUUACUACAGCUUGGCACUGAACAUUGAACCUACAUGUGUAGGAUAGGGGGGAGACUUUGAAGCAGCGACGCUAGUUGUUGUGGAGUCGUCCUUGAAAUACCACCCUUGUAGUUUUGAUGUUCUAACGUUGGCCCCUGAAUCGGGGUUACGGACAGUGCCUGGUGGGUAGUUUGACUGGGGCGGUCUCCUCCCAAAGAGUAACGGAGGAGCACGAAGGUUGGCUAAGUACGGUCGGACAUCGUACGGUUAGUGUAAUGGUAGAAGCCAGCUUAACUGCGAGACAGACACGUCGAGCAGGUACGAAAGUA